UUUUUUUUUCCCGCUAAGGGUUGGCCUCUGCCAAGUCUAUCCUUUGUCAUUGUUUUUUUUUUUCAUAAAAUUUAUGGACAAAAUUUCUCCUUUCCUUUUCUCCUCCUCCAAAUCAUCCAACUUUGACUGUCCCUCUAAUAAGCUCCUUUCUAAUUCUAUCCAACCUGGUCACUGUGAGCGAGAACCUCAACAUCUUCAUUUCUGCUACCUCAAGUUCUGCUUCAUGUUGUUUCUUCAGUGCCACCGUCUCUAAUCCGUAAAUCAUGGCCGGUCUCACCACUGUUUUAUAAACUUUGCCCUCCAUCCUAGCAGAGACUCUUCUGCACAUAACACACCAGACACCUUCCACCAGCUGUUCCCACCUGCUUGGACUUGUUUCUUCACUUCCUUAAAACACUCACCAUUGCUCUGGAUUGUUGACCCCAAGUAUUUGAAGUCAUCCACCCUUGCUAUCUCUUCUCCCUGUAGCCUCACUCUUCCCCCUCCACCCAUCUCAUUCACCCACAUAUAUUCUGUUUUAGUUCGACUAAUCUUCAUUCCUCUCCUUUCCAUUACAUGCCUCCAUCUUUCUAAUUGUUCCUCCACCUGCUCCCUGCUUUCACUGCAUAUCACAAUAUAAUCUGCGAACAUCAUGGUCCAAGGGGAUUCCAGUCUAACCUCAUCUGUCAGCCUAUCCAUUACCACUGCAAACAGGAAGGGGCUCAGAGCUGAUCCCUGAUGCAGUCCCACCUCCACCUUAAAUACUUCGGUUACGGCUAUGGCAUACCUCACCACUAUUCUGCUGCCCUCGGACAGUACAUGUCCUGUAAUAUUCCAACAUAUUUCUCGCCACACCAGACUUGCGCAUGCAGUACCACAGUUCCUCUCUUGGUAUUCUGUCAUAGGGUUUCUCUAGGUCUACAAAGAUACAAUGUAGCUCCUUCUGACCUUCUCUGUACUUUUCCAUGCGCAUCCUCAAGGCAAAUAAUGCAUCUGUGGUACUCUUUGAAGGUGUGAAAUCGUAGUGUUGCUUGCAGAUACUGACCUGAGUCUACCUUCCACUACUCUUUCCCAUAACGAAACAGUUAUUUUUCAAAACACAAUGUAAAGUAAUGUUUGUUUAACACCACCGUGUUAAUGGGGACAAGGUCAAUAUCCGAAAGAUGCUGGAUAGUGGGUCUAUGGUCAACUCUCUGUGCGCAGAUUUGGUACCUUGGUUGAGGGAGGUGGGAGUUGUACAUGGCGAUUUAGUAUUCCCUACGGAUGAUGUCCUCAUUGGGUGUGGUGGGAAGCAAACUGACCCUGUGGGAAUCUGUGAGAUGAAAGUCAAACUGUUGGACUCUGAUUAUCUUGUCGCAAUUGUGAUUGUGGACGGGCAAGUUGAUGAGCUGGUUGUGGGUACUAACCUGCUCAAACCAAUUAUCAGGAGAUUUAAGAGCAACAAGGCUUACUGGCGUGUAAUAGGCCAACCACAGGAGGAAGCUAGUGAGUUUACUCACUUUUUGACCAAUCUGGAAAGGCAGAGGGGGGAUGAAAUCCUGGAAAAGGUGGGAACGGUCAAGUUAAAGAAAGCAGUCACACUGGAGGCUAUGAGUGAGCAUGUGGUGUGGGGGCGUCUUCCAAAAGGUACUAAACUCUCAGCGGGGAGUACGGUAAUAGUGAAGCCGAGCUCAUCAAAGUGUGUGCCACGAAACAUAUUAGUGGGCAGGGUUGUGAUUCCCUUGUUGGAGGAUGGGUGGGUUCCGGUGAAAAUAAUCAACCCAACUGCUUCCAAAAUCUCGCUACGGAGGAACACAAAGUGGCUCAUGUUUCCCCGUGCAUAGCGGUGGAGGAUUUUGAGGAAUAUACCCAGUGCGCAGUUCACCAAAUGCAGGGAAAGGUGGUCAGUGGCAGCAGUCAUGGCAGCUUGACAGCUCAGAGUUGCAUGAGUGGCUAUAGGUCAAAUGGGAGUUCCAAGCUCAGUUAAUUGGGUUUUGAGGAUUUGCCAUUGGAUGACUGUGAGGUGUCUCCAGCCUGUAAAGAAAAACUGACAAAUUUGAUUGUGAAGUAUGAGAGUGUGUUUUCUAGAAACAAAUUGGAUUCUGGGAAAGCUAUUGAUUUUUGUUUUCGCAUCCGGUUGACUGAUGACUGCUCCUUUCGGCUGCCUUAUCGCAGGCUUUUGCCAGCCCAUUACCAGAAGUUGAGAGAGACACUCGAUGAGAUGGAGGAGCGGGAAAUAAUCAGAAAGUCUAGCAGUGAGUAUGCUGGAAGAAGAAUGGAGAACUGUAGCUCGCUGUGUACUGAUUUUUGCUGGCUAAAUGCCAGAACUGUUGAAGAUGCUCAUCCUAUGCCUCAUCAGGCAGAUGUUUUGGCAGUGAUGGGAGGCAAUGCCUUUUUCAGUACAUUGGAUUUGACAUCAGGCUACUAUAACGUGCCUCUUCACGAAGAUGACAAGAAGGACAUGGCCUUCUCUUCACCAAUGGGGCCACAUGAGUACAACCGGAUGCUCCACGACCUUUGCAAUAGCCCUGUGACUUUUAUGAGAAUGAUGCUGACGAUUUUCGGGGAUCAGAACUUCUUUUCUCUGCUUUGCUACCUGGAUGAUGUGUUAGAUUUUGGAAGGAUGGAGGAAGAAAGUCUUGAGCGCCUGUAACUAGUUUUCAGGUGGCUGCAGCAGCAUAAUUUGAAGCUCUCCCCAGCCAAGUGCAAAUUAUUGCGGCGGUCUGUAAAGAUCUCGUGGCAUGUGGGUUCUUGGAAGGGGAUAGUCACUGAUCCGGACAAAGUACAGGCAAUAGCAAGGUUGGGUGAGGCUGAUCUUAUGGAGAGUGAUGGGGUGACACCCUCUGCUGACAAGGUCUGUUCGUUUUUGUGCAUGGAAGUGUAUUACCAACACUUCAUUGAGAACGGCUCUGUGAUUGCUGAGGAUCUCUUCCAAUUUACGACUGGGCACAGACAACCUCGUGCCACAUGUGGUAAAAAGUGCCAGAAGGCUGUGAUCAGGUUUACUUCCACUGAUUGAACAGCGGAGUGUGGACAUUCUUUUGAGUCCUUGAAGCGUGCGAUCAUUGAUCAAGUCUUGCAAGCUCAUCCUGAUUUUACCAAACCAUUCAUUUAGGCCGUCGAUGCAUCUAGCAGUGGAUUGGGUUCUGUACAUUCACAGGUAUAGGGGGGUCAUGAUACAGCUGUGGCCAGCAAGUCACUCUAUCAUGCUCAGUUGAAGCAUCAAGCUCAUAGACUUGAGUUCUUUGCAAUGAAAUGGGCCAUCCAUGACAAGUUUAGUCAUUGGCUGCAGGGACAGAAAUUUACUGUGUUACGUUCCCGGACCCAAGAAUACUUUAGCUGAUGCUUUGAGCAGAGAGCCAUUCGUAGGGGCCAGAUGUAGGACGGCAGGCCCCCUCUACCUCAACUCUCUCUGAAGUCUGUGGGGAAGGGGAUAUCCAACGGCGGUAAAACAUCCCAGGAGGAGGUGUGUUGGAGGCACACAGGCACUGGGAUGAAGGUGGUUCAAUGAGGGCAGUGUCUCCUGUGCAGCAGUUGCAGCAGUUGGUGUGUAUGGACAGAGGUCAUCACCCGUCUCGCAGGGAAAGAGUUCAUGAAUCUGGGGAGACAAACAGAGUAUUGAAGCAGCGGGGGAAACUCAUGGUCCAACUGGGAGUUCUGUAUCGUGUCUCUAAAAACCCGUUGAGCAAGAAGAAGGUCUUUCAGUAGGUUGUUCCACUGUCAUUAAGGAGCCAAGUGCUUAAAGUUGUACAUGAUGAUGCUGGCCAUCUGGGGCAGCAAUGCACUUUAUGGCUCACCAGACAACAAUUAUAUUGGGACACAAUGGCUAGCGAUGUUAAGUUGUAUGUUACUCAUUGUAAGAGGUAUGUGUUAAGCAAGUCUCCAGAGCCAGAGAACAGAGCUCCCCUUUGUGUCCAUUGCCACUGCGGCACUACUUGAGUUACAUAUGCUACGCAACGAUCGGAAAAUGCAAAGCUCACCACCUAAGGAGGUCAGACUUCAGGUUGGUGACACACAUUACCGUCAUUUAUAUAAUUGUGUAACAUAAGACAUCGAAUAUCAUAUCGAAAUGUGUAUAUAGACCUUUUGUACUGCUCUAUGUACCUGAAUACGACUAUACAUUUUUUUUAUUUUCAUCCAUACCUAAAUAUAAUGCGCUCUAUUGACUUUUUGAAAAUAUUUUGGGAAAAAAUGCACAUUAUUUUCAAGAAAUUACGGUAAUUUACAUUUUAUAAAACAUCCCAAUGCCAUUGUAGAUAAUUAGGGUUUGUAUUAAUAUUAAGUAACACCUGAACUAUCAGCAAGAAAAAUAAGGGAAGAUUGUUCAAAACAAAAUAGUCAAUAUUUUCCGUCAGUUGGUAUAAGAUGCUGUGCUACUCAGAGUGUGAGAUAUAUGAGUCUAUUAUGGAGUUUUUACAGUGCAACCCAAGUAGCAUAUCCAAAGAUGACACAAGAGGACUCUUAGGCUCAUUUGGGAAAUGUUAUAAUUUAUAUAGUUGUAUGUAUAUAUAUGUAUAUGUAUACAUGUAAUCUAUUUAGCAAAAUUGCCUAAAUCUCCAGGAUGUUGUACUUUCAUGUCUGAUAGCUCUAGGUUGGGCAUCAAAGGUUUGCGCUUUUACUUUGAGGAAUAAAUGUGGUAGUAAAAGUAUGAUAUUAAAUUGUUGUUUAAACGUAUUGCUAGAGGCAUAGCACUGCUGAUUCUUUUGU